GCCACGGUGAAUACGUUCCCGGGCCUUGUACACACCGCCCGUCACACCAUGGGAGUGGGUUGCAAAAGAAGUAGGUAGCUUAACCUUCGGGAGGGAGCUUACCACUUUGUGAUUCAUGACUGGGGUGAAGUCGUAACAAGGUAACCGUAGGGGAACCUGCGGUUGGAUCACCUCCUUACCUUAAAGAAGC
rnacentral:rRNA from 1 species